GACGAACGCUGGCGGCGUGCCUAAUACAUGCAAGUCGAACGCAUUUUCUUUCACCGUAGCUUGCUACACCGAAAGAAAAUGAGUGGCGAACGGGUGAGUAACACGUGGGUAACCUGCCCAUCAGCGAGGGAUAACACUUGGAAACAGGAGCUAAUACCGCAUAAUUCCAUUUACCGCAUGGUAGAUGGACUAAAGGCGCUUUUGCGUCCCUGAUGGAUGUACCCGCGGUGCAUUGGCUAGUUGGUGGGGUAACGGCCUACCAAGGCUGCGAUGCAUAGGCGGACUGAGGAGGAGAACGGCCCACAUGGGAAUUAGAACACGCCCCGACUCCUUAGGGGAGCAGCAGUAGGGGAUCUUCGGACAUUGGGGGAAGGCUUACCGAGCAAAGCCGCGUUAGUGGAGAAGGUUUUCGGGUCGGAAAACUCUGUUGUUAGAGAAGAAAAAGGAUGAGAGUAGAAAGUUCAUCCCUUGACGGUAUCUAAACAGUAAGCAACGGCUAACUACGUG
rnacentral:rRNA from 1 species